rnacentral:rRNA from 1 species
GACGAACGCUGGCGGCGUGCUUAACACAUGCAAGUCGAACGGAAAGGCCCUGCUUUUGUGGGGUGCUCGAGUGGCGAACGGGUGAGUAACACGUGAGUAACCUGCCCUUGACUUUGGGAUAACUUCAGGAAACUGGGGCUAAUACCGGAUAGGAGCUCCUGCUGCAUGGUGGGGGUUGGAAAGUUUCGGCGGUUGGGGAUGGACUCGCGGCUUAUCCGCUUGUUGGUGGGGUAGUGGCUUACCAAGGCUUUGACGGGUAGCCGGCCUGAGAGGGUGACCGGCCACAUGGGGACUGAGAGACGGCCCAGACUCCUACGGGAGGCAGCAGUGGGGAAUAUUGCACAAUGGGCGGAAGCCUGAUGCAGCAACGCCGCGUGCGGGAUGACGGCCUUCGGGUUGUAAACCGCUUUCGCCUGUGACGAAGCGUGAGUGACGGUAAUGGGUAAAGAAGCACCGGCUAACUACGUG